UGUAAAAAAAUUCAUCAAUUUCUACUAUUAAAAACUGGCGUGAUUGACAGAAUAACCAAACAGUUACAUGUGGCGCGUCAAGUGUAUUUCAUGCAAACAUAUGUGGACCAGUUAAUAACGGUAAAAAUGGAUGGAAAUUUUAAUA
rfam:Gossypium raimondii Chr10_contig_1407, whole genome shotgun sequence.